CACGGGGGGAGCAAGCGUUGUUCGGAAUCACUGGGCGUAAAGGGCGUGUAGGCGGUCAGGUAAGUGGAAUGUGAAAUCCCUCGGCUCACCCGAGGACCUGCAUCCCAAACUGCCUGGCUUGAGUAUGGGAGAGGAUGAGGGAAUUCCUGGUGUAGCGGUGAAAUGCGUAGAUAUCAGGAGGAACACCGGUGGCGAAGGCGGCAUCCUGGACCAACACUGACACUGAGGAGCGAAAGCCAGGGGAGCAAACGGG
rnacentral:rRNA from 1 species